rnacentral:rRNA from 1 species
UACCAACCCUCCGAGUGGUAGGGAUGAUUAUUUGGCUUAAAGCGUCCGUAGCUGGCUUGAAAAGUCUUCCGUUAAAUCCAGCGUCUAAGCGUUGGAAAGCGGAAGAUACUAUCAAGCUAGGAGGCGGAAGAGGCCGACGGUAUUUCUAGGGGAGGGGUGAAAUCCUAUAAUCCUAGGAGGACCACCAGUGGCGAAGGCGGUCGGCCAGAACGCACUCGACGGUGAGGGACGAAAGCUGGGGGAGCGAACCGGAUUAGAUACCCGGGUAGUCCCAGCAGUAAACUAUGCAGGCUAGGUGUUGGGGCGGCUACGAGCCGCUUCAGUGCCGCAGGAAAACCGUUAAGCUUGCCGCCUGGGGAGUACGACCGCAAGGUUGAAACUUAAAGGAAUUGGCGGGGAGCACUACAAAGGGUGAAGGCUGCGGUUU